GCCUAGUUAGCUUAGUUGGUAGUGCGUCUGCCUUGUAAGCGCUAGGCCGCAGGUUCGAUUCCCGCCCGGGGCG
rfam:Asian citrus Psyllid, Diaphorina citri - Florida Strain, whole genome shotgun sequence.